CACCGUAUAGUUGACAUAUUUUAUGCACCCACCAAGCGACCGUGAUGGUAAAGCACACUGGCAUAACCAGCCAGCAACGUUUUGUUAAGCCUGAAAAUUUACCUGCAUAGUUAACUAUCAUAUUUUUUAAAAAACUAUGCAAUAGUUCUUAGAUAAUAAUUUUAUAGAGACUAUGUUUUCCAACAACGCCACUAAUUUAUUGACCAAUGCCGUCCAUCUGCACAAACAUGUUAAUUUAUCAUUAAUAUUCACGUCCUGGGGAAGAGCAUCACCACAAUCCAUUCCAUGGAAAUGAUUCCACUAAGAAAAAAAUAUUCACCGUAUCUACAACAAUGAUGAUGCAAAGUCAGAAACAUUCAAUCGAGGAUAAAUCAUCCAGGCUAUAUGUGCACGAUGGCGAGGAAUCCAAUCUACUAUCCACAAUUACAUUACACUAUUUCCAAUUAAUAAAGGUAAAAAACCAUAAAAAAUGCCCCACUUCAUCCAAAAAAAAUUAUAACAUUCAACAAGAACGUGUUCGCAAAAGUUAGUAAAAGCAAGUAGAAUCGGAAAUGUACCGAGGAGGAGAAUCGAGAUCGAAAACACGUCGUGGCCACCCCUACUCGACGAGGGAGAUGGCGCCUGGCGACGACGGCGGCGAGACCGUCAACUGAGAGGGUUUCCUUCGAGCGAGCCGCCCUACGAGGCCGCAGAGAAGCGGAGACAGAAAACGACCUCCCGAAGCUUCUGGGCUUCGCCCGUCA
rnacentral:lncRNA from 1 species